rnacentral:rRNA from 1 species
UUGAACGCUGGCGGCAGGCCUAACGCAUGCAAGUCGAACGGUAACAGGAAACAGCUUGCUGUUUCGCUGACGAGUGGCGGACGGGUGAGUAAUGUCUGGGAAACUGCCUGAUGGAGGGGGAUAACUACUGGAAACGGUAGCUAAUACCGCAUAACGUCGCAAGACCAAAGAGGGGGACCUUCGGGCCUCUUGCCAUCGGAUGUGCCCAGAUGGGAUUAGCUAGUAGGUGGGGUAACGGCUCACCUAGGCGACGAUCCCUAGCUGGUCUGAGAGGAUGACCAGCCACACUGGAACUGAGACACGGUCCAGACUCCUACGGGAGGCAGCAGUGGGGAAUAUUGCACAAUGGGCGCAAGCCUGAUGCAGCCAUGCCGCGUGUAUGAAGAAGGCCUUCGGGUUGUAAAGUACUUUCAGCGGGGAGGAAGGGAGUAAAGUUAAUACCUUUACUCAUUGACGUUACCCGCAGAAGAAGCACCGGCUAACUCCGUG